UUUCUUCUUCAGUCCUCUGAUCUGCUUCAUGAUCUCAGCAGGUACCUUGGUAUUCAAGCUGACAUCUUCACAGAAGCUAUCGUUGCACUGUAGUUGCAAAGUUUUUCUCCCUUGUGGACAAUAGUGUUAAGAUCAUGAAUUUCAGAGCUCACUGUUGUGUGUGACAUUUCAUCGAAAGCCUUAUUUUCAGCAUUGAAAAAAAGAUCCUGAUACCAAAUUUACUCCCUCUAUUGACUUUGCAGUUCUAGUAUGAGGUGAGUCCCUGCUUUCAAGAGUUUUAGUCUCAAUAUUACUUCCAGACUCCAGUAAUCAAUGCCAAGGAAUCCACAUUUUUAUACGUCUCUGACAAUUUAUCAAGCACAUGCCCCGCCUUUGAAUUGCCAGUUUCAUAGGCAGAAUCAAGGGCAGAUGAUGCCAAAAAAUGAUUGGGAGACACCAUUGCUGAUUGUGACACUAUAGAGACAGAAUUAAUGCAGUAAAAAAUGAACCUGUGAUGAAUUAGCUAGACGCCCCACUACAUUGUUGUUGGUUUGUUGUUGAAACUGCUGAGCAAAUUUACCCUUGAAAUGCUUCCA